rnacentral:rRNA from 1 species
UGAGUAACACGUGUCCAACCUGCCGUCUACUCUUGGACAGCCUUCUGAAAGGAAGAUUAAUACAAGAUGGCAUCAUGAGUCCACAUGUUCACAUGAUUAAAGGUAUUCCGGUAGACGAUGGGGAUGCGUUCCAUUAGAUAGUAGGCGGGGUAACGGCCCACCUAGUCUUCGAUGGAUAGGGGUUCUGAGAGGAAGGUCCCCCACAUUGGAACUGAGACACGGUCCAA